rnacentral:tRNA from 1 species
UUAAUUGAAACCAAAAAGAGGUCCACCACUGUUAAUGGUGUAAAUGAGAAAAUUCUCCAAUUAAG